rnacentral:rRNA from 1 species
UACGAAGGGGGCUAGCGUUGCUCGGAAUUACUGGGCGUAAAGCGCACGUAGGCGGUUUCUUAAGUCGGUGGUGAAAUCCUGGAGCUCAACUCCAGAACUGCCUUCGAUACUGGGAAACUUGAGUCCGGGAGAGGUGAGUGGAACUGCGAGUGUAGAGGUGAAAUUCGUAGAUAUUCGCAAGAACACCAGUGGCGAAGGCGGCUCACUGGCCCGGUACUGACGCUGAUGCGCGAAAGCCAGGGGAGCAAACGGG